CAACAACUAGCAACAUCAAGCUGUCCUAACAACCUAACAACAAUACAUUAGAUUAUAUAAAUAUAUGUAUUACAGUAAAAUUUGAAUCUGAACUACUUUGAGCUUGGGGAUAUUAAAGGAGAAUAGGAUUCGGAUUUUUGACUGCUACUUGGUAUCAGAAUAUUUUGACACCCUGAUAUGUACAUUUUGGGGGGCCAUCUCUCCAUCCAUUAAUUGACCGAUUUAGUCUUCGUUGAUCCGAAAAAUAUUUAACAUUAUGUAGCUUUGAAUUUGAAUUUUUCAAGCUUGUAUCCUGUCAUGUAACUGCUUUAGCACAGAAAUAUUGAAUAACUGAAAAAGCAUGCAUUUGUAAUCUAAGAAGGAAAAAGGCUGACAGGACUUGAGCAGUGAAUAGAGCACAGCAGCUUCUGGAUGUUAAAGCAAAAGGGAGGGAGGGAGAAUAAUCUCACUGAGAUUUUGUGUGAUGCCUUGUUCUCUUCUUUUGUUGAGGAUGCAUGAUGCAUGCAGGACUCUCUAUGACCAGCUUCCUAUUUUUGAUCAAACAUCAAACUAUCAGAUUUUGGUAGGUAUGAAAUGUAACGAGAAUAGUAAGUUAAUGUGUUAUGAGCAGGAAACAGGACUGAAACAGUACAACAUGAGGAUAAAUCAACAUCAAGUUAAAAAAAUGACCAUGAAGAUGAAAUGUGCAAGUGACAUGCGAGAGGCAAACACUGUUGCAGAUGCACUAUCUAAACUGGGUCAUGUUCUUCCUCAAAUCCAUUUGUUCUUUGUAAUUAAUGAUACAAAUUUGAUAUUGUUGUUUCUAGUUUUCUUGAUGUAAUCUGUUUUUGAGAGACUUUAUGUACUUGGGUAUGCAAGAGGAAGUUUGUAAAUUAACGCUUUUAGCACUCAAGGGGAAAUGGAAAAAUAGACUUUUAUGUUGA